rnacentral:rRNA from 1 species
CCGGUGGCGAAAGCGGCUNUCUGGUCUGUCACUGACGCUGAGGCUCGAAAGCGUGGGUAGCGAACAGGAUUAGAUACCCUGGUAGUNCACGCCGUAAACGCUGAGUGCUAGGUGUUAGGUCCUUUCCGGGACUUAGUGCCGACGCUAACGCAUUAAGCACUCCGCCUGGGGAGUACGACCGCAAGGUUGAAACUCAAAGGAAUUGACGGGGGCCCGCACAAGCGGUGGAGCAUGUGGUUUAAUUCGAAGCAACGCGAAGAACCUUACCAGGUCUUGACAUCCCGAUGCCCGCUCUAGAGAUAGAGUUUUACUUUUUGUACAUCGGAGACAGGUGGUGCAUGGUUGUCGUCAGCUCGUGUCGUGAGAUGUUGGGUUAAGUCCCGCAACGAGCGCAACCCUUAUUGUUAGUUGCCAUCAUUAAGUUGGGCACUCUAGCGAGACUGCCGGUAAUAAACCGGAGGAAGGUGGGGAUGACGUCAAAUCAUCAUGCCCCUUAUGACCUGGGCUACACACGUGCUACAAUGGUUGGUACAACGAGUCGCAAGCCGGCGACGGCAAGCUAAUCUCUGAAAGCCAAUCUCAGUUCGGAUUGUAGGCUGCAACUCGCCUACAUGAAGUCGGAAUCGCUAGUAAUCGCGGAUCAGCACGCCGCGGUGAAUACGUUCCCGGGCCUUGUACACACCGCCCGUCACACCACGAGAGUUUGUAACACCCAAANU